AAACCAUAUUUUUUUUACAACCCCAAUCAAAUAAAAAUCACAAUAACUCAUUAGCAUUUGUCCUGAUGAUAUUAUUUUUAAUUGUUGAACAUUUUAUUUUAAAAAAUACAAAUGACAAUUCUUGACCUCUAGCAUGCAAUAACUGCAAAAGGGCAUCAUCACAGUCCCCCAAAACAUGCUUUACAGAAAAUGCUGAUGCUUUUUCUAUUCUGAAUCGGUUCUGAUCUGUGACUGAUGCAUGUAUGUUUUGUGUUGUGUAGAUGGUAAUGUGAUUCUGGAGAGUUCUGUUGAUCCUGUGAUUGAUCCUUUGAUUGAGGGACAUACUCUGACUGUACACUGUUUACAUCGAUCUACAAACUCCUCGAUCCUCAGAGCUGAUUUCAGAGGUUCAGGUCAGAUUUCUGUCUUCAGCAUCCUCAGUUUUCUUCUGGCAGUUUGUCCGUAUCUGCUGUCGACAGUCGUGCUGCUGUUCAAAUGUUACAGAGCGAGAGUUACAUGGACUGAAGACCGAAGCCAGUCCGCUGUAACAGAGGAAUAAUCUUCAUCUCUUCUCCAAACCGCACACAGAGUCACAGGAUGCUGGAGUCUCAGACUGAAGACUGAAACACACUGGACACGAGCGGUCCAUCACAAGACUAACAGACAAUGCUCUUCAUGUGUGUCACAUUCACUGUAAACUACUGACAGACACCCUUUAAAUACUACUAACAACAAUUAUGAUGUCAAAUCACAUCUGAACAAUGUCUUUUUAUGCUUUCUGUGUCUAAAUAAAAUGAGUUUUAGUGUAAUGUCUCUUUGUAAAUGUCUC